rnacentral:rRNA from 1 species
UGCCAGCAGCCGCGGUAAUACGUAGGGUGCAAGCGUUGCUCGGAAUUACUGGGCGUAAAGCGCACGCAGGCGGUUUAUCAGGUCGGAUGUGAAAGCCCAGGGCUCAACCCUGGAACUGCAUUCGAAACCGGUAGACUUGAGUUCGAGAGAGGGUGGUGGAAUUCCUGGUGUAGAGGUGAAAUUCGUUGAUAUCAGGAGGAACACCGGUGGCGAAGGCGACCACCUGGCUCGAUACUGACGCUCAUGUGCGAAAGCGUGGGGAGCAAACAGGAUUAUAUA